ensembl:lncRNA
UGGUGGGCUACAAAUCCGUGAGGUCACAAAGAGACAGAUAUGACUGAGCACGCACGCACCCACCCAGUUCUGUCAUUUGUAGCUGGGGGCUCUGUGUGCCCCUCCCGGUGAGGGCUCAAAGCCUCCAUUGUGACUCAGCAGCGCAAGUAAUAAUGAAACAUGCGGGGCCCCUACCCCAGGACUUGUUGCAUCUUCUGAAACGAUAGUUCCUAGGAAAUAGAAAGGAAUGAGUCUUUCCUCUCUGAUAGUCGAAACGCCAAGCGCCUUGGCCCAGGAUGGGGCGGCAGUGACACUUUCUAGGUGGACAGUGGGCCUGGCAGCCCCGGUCAGAGUUCUGUGAGAUCCACCCGACUUGGAUAAGGUUAAAGUGUAAGGAUCCCCAAAAUGUAGCAGCUCAAGCAAGACACCUUGUUUCUUCCUCACAUGAACAGACCAGCUCAGUAGGCUGCUCUCCUCCCGGUAAUUAUUCUGGGCCCUGGGUCCUCUCCAUCUUGUUUCUUUGUCCAGUUGUUGUUUGAAAUACCUAUUUAUUUAGGCUGCACCAGGUCUCAGCUGUAGCACGUGGGAUCGUCCUUCUUUGUGGCGAAAUGUGGAAUCUUCAGGUGCAGCAAGUGGGAUCUAGUUCCCCGGCCUGGGAUCACACCCAGCCCCCCUGCUUUGGGAGUGUGGAGUCUUAGUCACUGGAUUGCCAGGGAAGUCUUUGUCCAGUUUUGAGUGGAUAUCUUGUCAGGCGUGCAGCCAAUGGAACAGGGAAACGCAACCUCGCCUGGUCUGGUCCCAAGGCACCAGGGCGGGAAGGACACUCGUCACUUCUGUCACACAUCACUGGGGAGAAUGCUGUCACGCCUUCCGCACGGAAGGUGGUGAAAGGUCCACUAGCCAGUCAGCCCUGUGCCUUAUCACACUUUGAUUACUCUGGGGAAAAGCGAGACAUGAAAGCCAGAAAUCUGUGUCAUCGUUCCAUACGGUUCAUAUUAGUUCCUUUUUCUACAGGUUGAGAGAGAGAAAUGGACUUCCUCAAAGACACAGCUGGUUAGGAGUAGCGCUGGAGCUAUAGUAUUGAUAGUUUUGGGGCUCCUCAGUUCCGUUCUUUAUCCCCACUGCUCUCCCGGGACAGUGGGGCAGAUCACUUGCAAUUAGUACUGCCCUGAAAAAAACUAGGGUGUGUAAUUCACAUCAAUAUGUGCAGCCAAUGGGGAAAAUACAAGGCAGUGGCAGAACCGUGUCCAACUCCUCUGCCUGCCUUCCUGACUCUCAAGCACAAAAACACCGAGGUGAUGAAUACUCUGCCUGCUGCGGCCCCAGCCCCCCAGUGCGGAUGUGAUUAGACACACAGAAUCAGACCGUGGGAGUGAUGAUAUCUCUUUACCUCCUCAGGAGGAAACUUGGCUACUAGAGAUUAAGGAAUAAGAAUGUUUUCAGGACAGGAGCCAUAGCUUGACUGUAUACAGCCCAGAAGUGAGCACAAGUAUCCCACUCAACAAACAUCACCUCUUCCAUGAAGUCUUCCAUGAUGCCACCUCCAGGCUCUCAGUCAUUUCCCAGGACUAUAUUCACACCACUAUUCUGGUGCCUGCUAACUGUGGCCAGAUGGGGAUUCUCUCAUCUCUUCCUCCUCCACACUUCCUGGGGGAGAGGGCCUUCUGUAAAACUGAGUGAAGAGACAAGGAUGUGGCUCGUAAC